rfam:Pirellula sp. SH-Sr6A, complete genome.
CUAGUUGCCUCGCAAGAGGUUACGAUGUCACCGUAGAAGUCAGCAGAGGCCAUAGUAGUCGGAGGCUUUAGCUGACGAAGGGC